UACCAGCACCCCGAGUGGUCGGGACGUUUAUUGGGCCUAAAGCAUCCGUAGCCGGUUCUGCAAGUCUUCCGUUAAAUCCACCUGCUUAACAGAUGGGCCGCGGAAGAUACUAUAGAGCUAGGAGGCGGGAGGGGCAAGCGGUACUCGAUGGGUAGGGGUAAAAUCCGUUGAUCCAUUGAAGACCACCAGUGGCGAAGGCGGCUUGCCAGAACGCGCUCGACGGUGAGGGAUGAAAGCUGGGGGAGCAAACCGG
rnacentral:rRNA from 1 species